CUCAACCAGCUAUGAUUCAUUGCUACAUCCGUUCCAAGCAGAGUUUGGAAGAGCAAAGAAUAUACGUGAAAGUUUUAAGGUGAUGGGAUGAGGAAAGUCUCAGUUCACUCUGCAGGAUUUGCCACAUCACCCGCCAGAAGCAGGCCGUGAACUGUGUUCCUCUGUCAGAGACCAAACUGUCCGGGAGUCCAUGCAAGUGGUACACAUGCUGCACAUAGAGUCUCUUGAGCAUUUGGAAGUCCCGUGCACGGGAUGAAAUGCGCCAUUUUUGUAAAAGCAUCCAGUACUGCCAACACGGUGAUUUUCCCCUGCAAGGAAGGAAGAUAAGUGAUGAAGUCCAUGGUGACCAUCUGCCAGGGUCCUUGGGGUGUUGGAAGGGGUUCUAGAAGCCCAGCAGACCAUCCAGUGGCAUGCUUGGCCCGAGUGCAGGUGGGGCAGGAUCAGACUUAAUGCUCCACUUCUUGUUUCAUCCGAGGCCACCAAAAGUCCCUGAUGACGGCUUGUAAGGUUUUGUAGACUCCAAAAUGCCCCUUGGUGGGAGAGUCGUGACAUUGGCGCAGCACCUAGGCUCUCACCUCUCCGGGAGGCAUGCACAUGGCUUCAUGACGGUACAGCAUCCCUUCCUUCAGCACAAAACCCUCGCUACUCUCGGUGGGUCAUGUUGCUAACUCAGAGCACUUCUCUUCCAUCUUCCAUCUGGAAACCUAUGCCCUCACUGUGGGAGGCUGUGUGGAUCCAGAAUUGGCCUCCACAGUCACUUACGGACCCACCGUUAAAGACCUUAUCUUGGAAGACAAUCUUACUCGGCCACAAGUGAUCACCAAUGAUGACUCUAGUGAGCCUGAACCUACUGAGAUUCAUGAGCACUUUUUUUUAAAAAAAAGUCAUCUACUGAUUCCAUCCAGCCCUGUAAUUUUGUUGGGAGAAUGGGCCUUUGCAUAACUAAGAAGUUGGCCAAGUGUAGCUGAUUUGUUGCCAUAGCGGCAACAAAUACUUUGGACAGAUAUCAGCAUAACGGACACUAUGAAUAAUAAAAAAAAUCCUUUUUUUGCAGAGCCAAAACUCACUCAUUAAUUUGCCACAAAAAUUGGCUGUGGCAGGGAUUUCAGAGUGGACUGAGUGCUGGAACACCACAAAUAUGAAUUUUGACAAUUUCUCCAAAAUCUCUUUUGUACCCUCCCCCCACCACCCUGUUUAAGAACUCCCUCUUUAGGAUAGUUUAAUGCCCCUUGUUAUAUGUAGGUCAUCUACUAAGCAAAAAAGGGUGUUCAAAAUAUUCCUUGAAACAGGAACCCUCAGAGGCAGAUAUGUAAGUGGAAUAAACCCUUCAAUUAGUCUCUCUUCGCACUGCCCCCAUUGCUUCCCAUUGCCUGGGCUAAGUGCUUUUUCAUGCUUCCUGAAUUUAGGACCACCUGCUUAAUCUCCUCUGUGUCUCAGGACUGGACACUAGACUAGCAGCCAUUAACUCUGCUCUACCCGAGGACCAGCCUAAUUGAAGAAGGCAUAGUACUGAAGCGUGGACAAACCCAAAAUAUAGAUAUCUCAUAUAUUG